rnacentral:lncRNA from 1 species
UUGGGGUCUGGGAUGCAGCUGAGGAUCUGCAGUGCCGCACAAAACAAACCCUCGCUGAGAUGUUCAGCUGCUCAGUGUGUGCCUCUGCAACCUGCAGCGUGAACAGGGAACAGAACACUUUAUCCAGGGAGCUUCUGGAGCUGUUAACAACGCUGCAGGGAGUUCAUCAAAGGCUGAGAUGGAGCUGUAACAUCCUGCCUGGAAAUGGGAGCCUUUCCACCAGAGUGCUGACGGACCACCAGACUCACUCUGCCAAAGAGAAAAGUUAAUCUGCAAUAACUGGGGCUCAGGUUUGAGGCCAGAGCACUUCUGCUCACCAGCAAUGACCGCCUCUACAGAAGCUGUCAGCAGAGGUCCCUAUGGUCUGCUGAAACCUGGAGCUCCCCUUUUCCUCCCAGGAUAUGAGGAUGGACAUAAACGCAUGACUGUGAAACUACACACUGCUUUUACCUUGUACCUUGGCAGUGUCAUCAAGUCCUUCACUGGCUUCCAGGCGAUGACCAAAGGCCCAUCCCUUCCACAGGCACCAACAAAGGCUGUGCAUUGUGGUCACUGAGGGUGGACAGAGCCACUCCCCAGCCCUGGGGCAGCCGCUGCUGCUCACCCUCCCCCAGGC